rnacentral:rRNA from 1 species
GUGGGGAAUAUUGCACAAUGGGCGCAAGCCUGAUGCAGCCAUGCCGCGUGUAUGAAGAAGGCCUUCGGGUUGUAAAGUACUUUCAGUCAGGAGGAAGGUGGUGAGCUUAAUACGCUCAUCAAUUGACGUUACUGACAGAAGAAGCACCGGCUAACUCCGUGCCAGCAGCCGCGGUAAUACGGAGGGUGCAAGCGUUAAUCGGAAUUACUGGGCGUAAAGCGCACGCAGGCGGUCUGUCAAGUCGGAUGUGAAAUCCCCGGGCUCAACCUGGGAACUGCAUUCGAAACUGGCAGGCUGGAGUCUCGUAGAGGGAGGUAGAAUUCCAGGUGUAGCGGUGAAAUGCGUAGAGAUCUGGAGGAAUACCGGUGGCGAAGGCGGCCUCCUGGACGAAGACUGACGCUCAGGUGCGAAAGCGUGGGGAGCAAACAGG